rnacentral:rRNA from 1 species
AGCGAACGCUGGCGGCAGGCUUAACACAUGCCAGUCGAGCGGACCUUUCGGGGUCAGCGGCGGACGGGUGAGUAACGCGUGGGAACGUGCCUUCCGGUUCGGAAUAACCCUGGGAAACUAGGGCUAAUACCGGAUACGCCCUUAUGGGGAAAGGUUUACUGCCGGAAGAUCGGCCCGCGUCUGAUUAGCUAGUUGGUGGGGUAACGGCCUACCAAGGCGACGAUCAGUAGCUGGUCUGAGAGGAUGAUCAGCCACACUGGGACUGAGACACGGCCCAGACUCCUACGGGAGGCAGCAGUGGGGAAUAUUGGACAAUGGGCGCAAGCCUGAUCCAGCCAUGCCGCGUGAGUGAUGAAGGCCUUAGGGUUGUAAAGCUCUUUUAUCCGGGACGAUAAUGACGGUACCGGAGGAAUAAGCCCCGGCUAACUUCGU